GAGACAGUUCGGUCCCUAUCUGCCGUGGGCGUUGGAUGAUUGAAGGGAGUUGCUCCUAGUACGAGAGGACCGGAGUGAACGAACCUCUGGUGUUCGGGUUGUCACGCCAGUGGCACUGCCCGGUAGCUAAGUUCGGAAUCGAUAACCGCUGAAAGCAUCUAAGCGGGAAGCGAGCCCUGAGAUGAGUCAUCCCUGACCCCUUGAGGGUCCUAAAGGGCCGUUGGAGACCACAACGUUGAUAGGUGGGGUGUGUAAGUGCAGUGAUGUGUUGAGCUAACCCAUACUAAUUACCCGUGAGGCUUAACCAUACAACACCCAAGAAGUGUUCUG
rnacentral:rRNA from 1 species